ACUGAAUCCGGUGCAUCUCCCAUGCCCGGCGCCUAUUCUCCGACACGCGGAGUGCAGUGUCCCUCUCACGAGUGAUCUGCACCAAGCGCUCCUGUAUGGUCUCCCUCUCUCUAGCUAACUGACUCAUUUGAUCUUGCUUAUGAUCUCUCUCUCUAAUGGCCUUCACCCACUGCUGCCUACGGUACUCCGCAAUGUCUUCCCAGUCAAUGCGGUCCUUCUGAGCUUGCUCCAGGAGUCUAGCUUGCUUGCGAAACUUGCGAGCACGCUUUUCAGCCUUCCGUUGCAUCUCCUGAGCCUGGCAAAUAGCCACCAUCACCUGUGCUU
rnacentral:lncRNA from 1 species